GCCACGAUGGCGCAGUAGGCAGCGCGUGAGUCUCAUAAUCUCAAGGUCCGUGAGUUCGAUCCUCCACUCGUGGCA
rnacentral:tRNA from 1 species